GGAAGAGGAGGAGGAGGAGGAGGAAGAAGAAGAAUAUGAACAGGAUGAGAGAGACCAGAAGGAAGAGGGAAAUGAUUAUGAUACUCGAAGUGAAGCUAGCGACUCUGAUUCUGAAUCCGUUUCUUUCACAGAUGGAUCUGUCAGAUCUGGUUCAGGCACAGAUGGAUCAGAUGAGAAAAAGAAGGAA